UAUAAACUUGCUUGAGCUCAUGACAGCAUAUCAUCUUGUAGGAGUGGGUCCUGAGACCCUCCUUCAGCUCUUGAUACAUUGAUGUUCAGCUUAUUUUUGCUGUGACAGCCAGUUUUUUGACAGAAUGACGAAGAUUUUGCUGUAUCUUUUCUCUGGUACUUUUGAUAGGCUGAGGGGUCUGCACACUUCUUUUUGACUAUGUCCAUGUUGAUCAGCAGUGGAACAAGUCUCUUGAAAUUUCUUGACAAUUUUCCUAACUGUUGUUUGGUUAAUUUCAAGCUUUUUUUGCUAUAGCUGUAUUACUUUCACUCCUGUUGUAGAGGGUUAUGGUUGUAUUUCUGUCUAUAGCCAUUAUCCAUUUUAUAAAUCUGAAUUUAUUUAGUCUGAAACAAAAAGAAGACACAUGAAGCUUUUAUAAUGAAGUAUGAUUCUCAUAUCGUAUAACAUUUAUUGAUAGUUUUUAAAGCC